CGCAAGAUUAAAACUCAAAUGAAUUGACGGGGGCCCGCACAAGCGGUGGAGCAUGUGGUUUAAUUCGAUGCAACGCGAAGAACCUUACCUACUCUUGACAUCCAGAGAACUUUCCAGAGAUGGAUUGGUGCCUUCGGGAACUCUGAGACAGGUGCUGCAUGGCUGUCGUCAGCUCGUGUUGUGAAAUGUUGGGUUAAGUCCCGCAACGAGCGCAACCCUUAUCCUUGUUUGCCAGCGAGUAAUGUCGGGAACUCCAGGGAGACUGCCGGUGAUAAACCGGAGGAAGGUGGGGACGACGUCAAGUCAUCAUGGCCCUUACGAGUAGGGCUACACACGUGCUACAAUGGCGCAUACAGAGGGCGGCCAACUUGCGAGAGUGAGCGAAUCCCAAAAAGUGCGUCGUAGUCCGGAUCGGAGUCUGCAACUCGACUCCGUGAAGUCGGAAUCGCUAGUAAUCGUGGAUCAGAAUGCCACGGUGAAUACGUUCCCGGGCCUUGUACACACCGCCCGUCACACCAUGGGAGUGGGCUGCAAAAGAAGUAGGUAGUUUAACCUUUCGGAGAGCACGCU
rnacentral:rRNA from 1 species